CUCGAAGCGAGUCGGCGCACGGAGACGCGGGUUCUGUUAACCUUCACAAUACAGCAGGGUGCUAGGUGUUGAUCUGCGGCGUAUGCGGACCGAACAUGUCAGCGUUUGAGACUACCAACAUCCAUAAGAAAUAUAGUGAGCGUCACACACCCCUAGCGACCUCAUGAACCCUCAUGCUCUCCCAAUCUGUCUACUGACUUCAUAGGAAGAGUCACCAGAAUGUUGUUGUUGAGAUUCUCCACAGCCACUGGACCCCAUGAC